GGUGACGUAGGCGACGACGGUCGCGAUGAGCACGAUCCAGCCGAGCAGCAGCCAGGCCGGGGCGGUGGUUCCGUUCAGGUCGGCGGCGCCGCCG
rnacentral:tRNA from 1 species